UAAAAUAAGAAAGAAAAAGAGAAAAACAAUAAAAUAAAAUAAAUAGGAAAGAGAAUACUCGAAAAUUAGACACCUUGGGGAUUCGAAGGCAGGAUCAGGGAGAUGGUGAAGGCGCGCUGACCAACACAUAUAGGCACACGCUUCUGUCAAAUUCUGGCCACAACUACUAUAUAACUAGUGUAGCAGCUGCAUCUGUCAUGUGAAAAAAAUAAAAGCUAGCUAUUCUUGAACAUGCUUUGGAUCUCUUUCCAUUAGCCUCGCGGCCAGAGCCAAACACUGUCCAUUCCCAUCUCUUCUCUCAGUGCAAAACCAGCCAUCUCUGCCCUCUCCCGUCUUCAUUUCUCUCAAGAACUCAAGAGCCUUGUCCCUUUUUGCUUCUCUGUCUCAGACCUCUACCAGCACUGUCACUAGCGUCCACCUGCAUCCACGAUGUCCUUUGAUCCAUAAUAUUGAGAAGACGUUGUCUAAUGGUUUUUCGUCCAAAAAGAACAUCGAGUCACCCAAAAACCACUUGACCUGCAACAACAUAGAAUCUGCUAGUGACCUCCCGAAAAGAUUAACCACAUCUGAGAAAAGGGGUGCAGCGUCGGAUCUAACCAAUAAUCUUGUAAGGAUGAUUUCAAGAUCCGAUAUCCAUCCAAAGAUGCAAAUCCAGGAGAAGGCAGUCAACACACAAGCUCAAAGGGUAUGGAAUCACAUGGGAGUGCAAAAGGUGGAUCCGUGCUUCAUACAUGUUGGGAGAACCUACUGAUAACUCAAAAAUGCCCAUUUUCUGUGAAUGUUCUGCUGCCCAUUGUUGAGAUUCUGUAGCCAUCAUAUCAAAUAGUUCAAACGCCUCUCUUGCAGAUUUAUUUGACAACGAUCCUCCCGCUGAUGCGUUCACAUGGCUUUUAGAUGUAGGAUUAAGCCCAUCAAAGAAAAUAUUCAUAUGUGUAUCUGCAUCAAUAUUAGUAUGUGGACACUUUAUGUACAUCUCUAUAUAUCUCUCCCAUGCUUCAUGAAACUCUUCAUUAGGCUUCUGUGUGAAUGUCAAAAUCUCCCUCUUGUAAUUCAAUGUCUUGGAUGCUAGAUAAUACUUGUUCAGGAAUUUUGUAUGUAAUUGUUGCCAAGUAGUAAUGCUAUUUGCCGGUAGAGUAAACAACCAAGUUUCUGCCUUGUCCUUUAAAGUGAAAGGGAAAAGUCGUAACGUAAUAGCUUCAACAGAAAAACCCCUAAUCAAAAUAUUUUUGCAACCCACAAUAAAUUUUGCAAUAUGUAUGUUCGCAUCUUCAUUAGGCAGCCUAAGGAAUGUUGGUAAAAUCUCAAGCAUGUAGUGCUUGAUUU